GGACCCGCACAAGCAGUGGAGUAUGUGGUUUAAUUCGAAGCAACGCGAAGAACCUUACCAGGUCUUGACAUCCCUCUGACCGAUGCAGAGAUGCAUCUUUCCUUCGGGACAGAGGAGACAGGUGGUGCAUGGUUGUCGUCAGCUCGUGUCGUGAGAUGUUGGGUUAAGUCCCGCAACGAGCGCAACCCUUGAGCUUAGUUGCCAGCACGUAAAGGUGGGCACUCUAGGCUGACUGCCGGUGACAAACCGGAGGAAGGCGGGGAUGACGUCAAAUCAUCAUGCCCCUUAUGACCUGGGCUACACACGUACUACAAUGGCCGGUACAAAGGGUUGCGAAGGAGCGAUCUGGAGCCAAUCCCAUCAAAGCCGGUCUCAGUUCGGAUUGCAGGCUGCAACUCGCCUGCAUGAAGUCGGAAUUGCUAGUAAUCGCGGAUCAGCAUGCCGCGGUGAAUACGUUCCCGGGUCUU
rnacentral:rRNA from 1 species